rnacentral:rRNA from 1 species
GACGAACGCUGGCGGCGUGCCUAAUACAUGCAAGUAGAACGCACAGUUUAUACCGUAGCUUGCUACACCAUAGACUGUGAGUUGCGAACGGGUGAGUAACGCGUAGGUAACCUGCCUGGUAGCGGGGGAUAACUAUUGGAAACGAUAGCUAAUACCGCAUAAUAUUAAUUAUUGCAUGAUAAUUAAUUAAAAGGUGCAAUUGCACCACUACCAGAUGGACCUGCGUUGUAUUAGCUAGUAGGUGAGGUAACGGCUCACCUAGGCGACGAUACAUAGCCGACCUGGGAGGGUGAUCGGCCACACUGGGACUGAGACACGGCCCAGACUCCUACGGGAGGCAGCAGUAGGGAAUCUUCGGCAAUGGACGAAAGUCUGACCGAGCAACGCCGCGUGAGUGAAGAAGGUUUUCGGAUCGUAAAGCUCUGUUGUAAGAGAAGAACGGGUGUGAGAGUGGAAAGUUCACACUGUGACGGUAUCUUACCAGAAAGGGACGGCUAACUACGUG